rnacentral:rRNA from 1 species
UAUACGUAGUCGACCGAUAGCGAACUAGUACCGUGAGGGAAAGGUGAAAAGUACCCCGUGAGGGGAGUGAAAUAGUACCUGAAACCGUUGGUUUACAAUCAGUCAAAGCGUCGUUUCAAGCUUCGGCUUGAAGCCGCAAUGGCGUGCCUUUUGAAGAAUGAGCCUACGAGUUACGGUGUGUGGCAAGGUUAACCCGUGAGGGGAAGCCGGAGCGAAAGCGAGUCUGAACAGGGCGUUCAGUCGCAUGCUGUAGACCCGAAGCCGAGUGAUCUAUCCAUGGGCAGUGUGAAGCGGGGGUAAGACCCCGUGGAGGCGCGAACCGACCUAGGUUGAAAACUGGGCGGAUGACCUGUGGAUAGGGGUGAAAGGCCAAUCAAACUCGGUGAUAGCUGGUUCUCCGCGAAAUGCAUUUAGGUGCAGCGUCGCAUGUUCAGCCAUGGAGGUAGAGCACUGGAUGGGUUAGGGGGCCUACAAGCUUACCAACCCCAGCCAAACUCCGAAUGCCAUGGCUCCAGAGUGCGGCAGUGAGUCCUCGGGGGAUGAGCUUCGAUGGACGAAAGGGAAACAGCCCAGACCGCCGACUAAGGCCCCAAAGUUCUGACUAAGUGGUAAACGAAGUGGGAUUGCACAGACAGCCAGGAUGUUGGCUUAGAAGCAGCCACCAUUGAAAGAGUGCGUAACAGCUCACUGGUCGAGUGGUCCCGCGCGGAAAAUGUAACGGGGCUCAAGUUUCACACCGAAGUCGCGGAUUUCUGCCUUAUGGCAGGAGUGGUAGCGGAGCGUCGAGCCUGGAGCGAAGCGGCGGUGGAAACCGUCGUGGACCGGGCUCGAGUGAGAAUGUUGGUAUGAGUAGCGAGAGAGGGGUGAGAAACCCCUCCGCCGGAAGUCCAAGGGUUCCUGGGGAAGGCUAAUCCUCCCAGGGUGAGUCGGGAGCUAAGGCGAGGCCGAGAGGCGUAGUCGAUGCACAACCGGUUGAUAUUCCGGUACCACGGGUUGCGCGACAAACGCCGACCCGCAGUUGCUCAGGGGAUGGUCGACCCUUCGGGGUUGACAGGAACUUGAACCAAGUGCGGUUAGGUGAGUGAUGCGGGGACGCAGGUAGGUAGGUGAUCCCAGGCGAUGGUUGUCCUGGGGCAAGCGUGUAGGUCGGGGCGUAGGUAAGUCCGCUCCCCACAAAGACUGAGACGUGACGCCGAGCCGUUCAAGGCGAAGACACUGAUCCUUUGCUGCCAAGAAAAGCCGCUAGCGAGUGCAACCGGUGCCCGUACCCCAAACCAACUCAGGUGGACAGGUAGAGAAUACCAAGGCGAUUGGGAGAACUAUGGUUAAGGAACUCGGCAAAUUGCAUCCGUAACUUCGGGAGAAGGAUGACCUUAUUAGGGUGAUAAGACCUUGCGUCUUUGAGCCUGACGAGGUGACACAAACCAGAGGAAAGCGACUGUUUACUAAAAACAUAGGUCUAUGCUAACACGUAAGUGGAAAUAUAUGGACUGACACCUGCCCGGUGCUGGAAGGUUAAGAUAUCUUGUCAUUCCGACUUGUCGGAAGAAGCUCGGUGUUGAAGCCCCAGUAAACGGCGGCCGUAACUAUAACGGUCCUAAGGUAGCGAAAUUCCUUGUCGGGUAAGUUCCGACCUGCACGAAUGGCGUAACGACUUUCCUACUGUCUCAACCAUAGACCCAGCGAAAUUGAAGUACGAGUAAAGAUGCUCGUUAGCUGCAGAAG